GUCAUAGAAGCAACCUCGAAGGAAUCAUCAUCCUUCCCUAGCGAGAAGAAAAAAAUUAGGCAAAGUCUUUUUGCGGAAAGCAGCUGUGAUUGUGAAACCAACCAUCUUUGUCAACUCUUUCUCAUCGUCAUCAUCAUUUCACUCUCACGGCUCCCCUUUUACUUACUCUCCAUUAUCUUCCUUCUCCCUUUUCCCAACCACUUAUAUAACGAUCCAAUCCCCUUUUUUCACCCACACAUAAAAAUCUUCUUCCUUUGAGUCGGAGGCGGAGCAUGGCCGCGGUGGUGGUUGGAAUCGGAGUUCGGAAGCAGAGGAUUUUUCCUCAUGCGUCUAGUCUUGCUUCCAUUGAGUCCUUAUCUCUGCCUCUCGUCCAGGAAAUUGUGUUGACAGCCGAUAUUGGUUGUGCUGAGUGUCAGAAGAAACUGGCCGAUAUACUCUCCAAAAUGAAUGAGUCUGUGGUGGUUGAUUUGUUGGACAAGAAAGUGAUAUUGACUCGAAGAUCGCAAAUUCCAUCUAGAGCUUCAACGAUCAAGAGAUUGUUUGCUUCUCCUUGCAGAUAACUAUAAGUAUAUAUGGAUUUUUUUUUACUAAGGUUUGUUGAUAAAUGAAUAAUCGGAUUGGUUGUUGUUUAGUUUGAAAAAAAAAAAAGUUUAAGAGAUUGCCUUUUUAUUUA